rnacentral:rRNA from 1 species
UACGAAGGGGGCUAGCGUUGCUCGGAAUCACUGGGCGUAAAGGGUGCGUAGGCGGGUCUUUAAGUCAGGGGUGAAAUCCUGGAGCUCAACUCCAGAACUGCCUUUGAUACUGAAGAUCUUGAGUUCGGGAGAGGUGAGUGGAACUGCGAGUGUAGAGGUGAAAUUCGUAGAUAUUCGCAAGAACACCAGUGGCGAAGGCGAGUCUCUGGACGACCCCUGACACUGAGGCACGAAAGCUAGGGGAGCAAACAGG